CAUGGUUAGUGAAAGGAGGGUGCCUCAUUAAGUAAGGAGUAGCUGUUGGGAAUUGGCUAUGCUCCAUUGCCUCAGGAGCCUCCAGAUUUGGAAGGUUUUUGGUUUCUUCACUUCUUUUGCUAUCCAUUUUGCCUUGAUAUAUGUGCAACUCCCGGAGUUUCCAACUUCCAAAAAUUUCUGAACCUAUUCCAUCAAAGUUUCAACAUUCAGUUGUCGUGUCUCCUUAGCUUCUUCUUGUCUGUGACAGUUUCUCAGACUUUCCUUGUUUUUGAUGACCUUAAUAGUUUUGAGGACUACUGGUAUAUACUUUAUUUGGGAUUUGGCUGAUGUUUUGCUAAUAACUAGAAUCAGGGUUCUCUGCGACACAGGUUGGGUCCCAGGAAAGUGGACUCUGAAAUGGAGACCAGAAUUUUGGGGCUUUUAUUAGAAAGUAUUCUUGGGAUCAACCUGUGGAAGGGAAGAGAGGUUCAGUUGAGCUAAGUGGAUCUUCAGAGCCUGAACAGAGGAGGGAACUGGGAUAUCAGUGGUGACUCUUUUACGGUCCUAUACUUCUGGUUUCCUGUAAAGAGCCUUUCUGAUCUAUAUUCCCGCAGGAUCCUAGGCAUGGUGUCUUGCAACAGAUUGACUUCAUCAUACAUAUUUGCUUAUUGAUUAUUUGUGGAACUGAGAAUAAUCUGUAUAUCUUGCCUUAUGGCAGAAAAUGAAUAGAGAGAACGCGUGAUCAAGAAAUCCUAUGAGGACCAUCACUAACCUUCCUUUUGCCGAUGAGGAAACAGCAAGAUAAGAGCUUGAAGGAAUGUGUUCAAGUAGUGGAACCGAGUUUCAUAUCCAAGAGCAAAGCCAAUGCUCUUAACCAUUUCUCUCUAUUGCGUAUCUCAAGAUGUGUAGCAUUGUUCAGCCUGAACUAGAACCAGGAUGGCAGUCAAGAGGCCAGAAUGGCCGGGAUCAAUCCCAACAAAUAUACAUCAUGGAACCA